rnacentral:lncRNA from 1 species
CACACUACACAGGGAUAUCCUUUAUUCAUUAUAAAAAAUCAUUCACAGUAUUUGUAUACUAAUUUAAAAUCGGUAUUUGUUUAAUAUAAACCUAAUGAUGUUUGCUGUAGUGUAGAUGAUUCACACACCAGCAUGCAAUGCUUUAAUCUGAGGCUAUAGGUAAUUUGUAGGUCAACUUUCGCGGUAAACAAUGUCAAUGGGGAUACAUGAGAAUGGGGAAAGAAACGGCAGUUUUAAUUCUUUCUGUAAAGUUCUGUUUUUAGAAUCUGCCUCCAAUUUAGAAUUUGCAAAUAUAUCAAAAUGUGGGAUCUGGAAACAAACUGCACACAGC